UACGUAGGGUGCAAGCGUUAAUCGGAAUUACUGGGCGUAAAGCGUGCGCAGGCGGUUUUGUAAGCCAGAUGUGAAAUCCCCGGGCUCAACCUGGGAAUGGCAUUUGGGACUGCAAGGCUUGAGUGCGGCAGAGGAGACUGGAAUUCCUGGUGUAGCAGUGAAAUGCGUAGAUAUGCGGAGGAACACCGAUGGCGAAGGCAAUCCCCUGGGCCUGCACUGACGCUCAUGCACGAAAGCGUGGGGAGCAAACAGG
rnacentral:rRNA from 1 species